UACGUAGGUGGCGAGCGUUGUCCGGAUUUACUGGGCGUAAAGAGCGCGCAGGCGGUCGUUCAAGUCGCGUGUGAAAGCCCCCGGCUCAACUGGGGAGGGUCACGCGAUACUGAUCGACUCGAAGGCAGGAGAGGGUAGUGGAAUUCCCGGUGUAGUGGUGAAAUGCGUAGAUAUCGGGAGGAACACCAGUGGCGAAGGCGGCAUCCUGGACCAAUACUGACGCUGAGGAGCGAAAGCCAGGGGAGCAAACGGG
rnacentral:rRNA from 1 species